rnacentral:tRNA from 1 species
GCCCUGGUGGUCUAGUGGUUAAGACUGGGCUCUCUGACUGCCGUGGCCUGGGUUCAUUUCCCAGUCAUGGAG